GACGGAGGAUUCAAGCGUUAUCCGGAAUGAUUGGGCGUAAAGCGUCCGCAGGUGGCAGUUCAAGUCUGCUGUCAAAGACCGGGGCUUAACUUCGGAAAGGCAGUGGAAACUGAACAGCUAGAGUAUGGUAGGGGCAGAGGGAAUUCCUGGUGUAGCGGUGAAAUGCGUAGAUAUCAGGAAGAACAUCGGUGGCGAAGGCGCUCUGCUGGACCAUAACUGACACUCAGGGACGAAAGCUAGGGGAGCGAAUGGG
rnacentral:rRNA from 1 species